rnacentral:lncRNA from 1 species
GCACAGAGGCAUGAGCCGCGCAUACCUGGCUUUAUUCUUCCUUGCGCGCCUCUUGCUCGAGAUCCGCAAUGCCGAAUCGCAGUGCGCCGAGCUCCAGAAAUACGUCGAGCUCUCGCAGGCCUGCGACUUCUACUUCGAUGGCUACCACCAUCUUCCUCCCAUCCUGGAGCUCAAGAACAACGAGAGUCUCACGCCUUCCAUCUCCACCAGGUAAAGAGCUCUCUCUCACCUCCAAGAGCUCACGCAGCGUGAUUUCUUUCCUCCAGGGACGGGAAGAAAGUGCUGAGGAUCGGGGAGAUCGCGCGCUGCAAAGCUUAUUUCGCUGCGUCCUUCACGUUCGUCGGCGUUGGAGGAACUGGAGACUGUCACAACCAGUUUAGGAUCAACAAGAACAAUCAAGUAGAGCUGGCUCACUUUGGUCAGCAGCAGGGAGCUCUCGUCGAUCCGUUGCAAGCCAGUGCCAUUAUCCUGUUCCUGGAUCAGCUGGAGCUCGAGGAUGGGACCUGCUUAACCGAUGGAGAUCACGACACCAAGUACAUCGAGAGCCGGAGGUGUGUCUCGUUUCUUACCAUGCCUCACCUCCACGCCGAGGUCGCAGCUCCAGUGGUGGUGAUGAAGGAGUUCGUGCUCUUUCGCGAGAAGAUCAUGCUCGAGUUUAUCCAGACGAUGAGGAAGAUCCAAAUGAACCUGAGGCAGAUGAUCCAGGAGCGCCUUCUUCAGCAGUUGCCGACGUAUUGAAGGCUCGAGGUCGUGGUAUCCAUCGGACCGGUCUUUUGUUGUUAUUCUACCACCGGCCUGAAACGACAAGAUAAUUCUUAAGAAACAGAACAAAAAGAAUAAACCAUACUCUCUCGGUCGGCUGUCCUUUAGGAGAUUAUCGCGUUUGACGUUGGAAGUCGCAUCUUUGCUACAAGCGAGACAAGUGAAACACGCAAUGCUGCCGGCCUGAAAAAUAAAAAUCAAGUGCAGUCUCGUUCCUGUUCAUUAAGGUCCUCUAUAAGUUGCAGAAAGAAAUUCCGAAAUCAAUCACCUGGCAAUGGAGCUCCCAGCAAUGGUGCUCUUUAUUGUCCUCCUCCUUUCGAGUCAUCUUGGAGCUGCCAGUGUAUCUGAUAGAAAGGUAAGUUGUGAACUCGAGUUACAGGAAAUCUUCAAUCCGUGCUUUUUAGCUGUAUGUUGUCUACACGGGAAGGAGAGCAAGUCACGAAGACAUUCACGCAGCUCACAAACACAACCAUGCCACGCUCGCAAACGUACUUGGAAGGUAUGAGAAACAAAUACGCUAGCUACAUGUACUGAAUCAAAGACGCGGCACAGCUCCGAGGCUGUACAAGAUUCAAUGAUCUACAGCUACAAGCAUGGAAUGAGAGGCUUUGCAGCGUUUCUAACUAAUGAACAAGCCGAUGCAAUUGCAAGUACGUACCUCAGCUGGAAAACGACUGCUCUUAUAACACCUUCUUGCUGUGCAGAAAAGGAUGGCGUCCUCUCCGUGAUUUCGAACAAACUCCACAAAGUUCACACCACGCAGUCGUGGAGCUUCU